rnacentral:lncRNA from 1 species
CUUACUGAUAAAUUAGUGUUUGACAAACUGGCAUUUUUCACAGUAAAAAUUGCAAUCACUUCUUGGCAAUUCUUUCAUCCUGUUCAGAAUUACUCAAGUAUUUUCUCUUCCUAACUAGCUUCCUAACUUUGAACAAGGUGGAGAUGUUGAAAGAACAACCCGUUAUACUCUUCUUCAGACUGUAGGUAAAACUAGAUAGAACAAAGGCAUGUGAAAAUAGAAAUCAGUUAACAAAAGUAUUUCUGCAUAAAAAGCUUUAUUCUAAUUUGUUCCUCCAUUUUUUGCAGAGGUUUGAUUAGUGUGUCAUCAAUGUAUGCAAACUUAACUGUUUACAUAAAUUGCUAUUGUUUUACAGAUAUGUCUGCAAUUGCAAGAAACAGUCUCCAGACAGUCUCCUUAUCCCCUCAGUGGCAAAUCAACACUUACAAAAAAAUUGUCCAGAAGAAGCAGACAAGUGGAAACGUUAUUUUGUAUUUUGACUGUGCUAGAUUAAAACUGAUGAAAAAGAGGAUUGUGUGUAGCUGUUCUUUCUUCAGUUGGAUCAGACGCUUUCUCCAUCUGUUGUGAGUGGGGGUUUUCCAUGGAAGAAAAAGAGAAAUGAGAAAUUAACUACUUAUGCGAGGGGUAUGUAUAUCAAUAGUAUUUUUUUCAAAAAUUCUCUGUCAGCUUCUUCAAUUUUAGGAGUGGUGGAAUUCCUGAG